rnacentral:rRNA from 1 species
GACGAACGCUGGCGGCGUGCCUAAUACAUGCAAGUAGAACGCAGUUGCGAACGGGUGAGUAACGCGUAGGUAACUGCCUCAUAGCGGGGGAUAACUAUUGGAAACGAUAGCUAAUACCGCAUACUGUGCGAUGGACCUGCGUUGUAUUAGCUAGUUGGUGAGGUAAAGGCUCACCAAGGCGACGCUACAUAGCCGACCUGAGAGGGCUGACGGCCACCCGGGGACUGAGACACGGCCCAGAUCCCUACGGGAGGCAGCAGUAGGGAAUCUUCGGCAAUGGACGGAAUUCUGACCGAGCAAAGCCGCGUGAGUGAAGAAGGUUUUCGGAUCGUAAAGCUCUGUUGUUAGAGAAGCGGUACCUAACCAGAAAGGGACGGCUAACUACGUGCCAGCAGCCGCGGUAAUUC